UACGGAGGGUGCCGAGCGUUGUCCGGAUUCAUUGGGUUUAAAGGGUGGCGCAAGGCGGGCACUUAAGUCGGGGGUGAAAGACGGUUGCGUCAAACAAUCGCAGUCGCCUUCGAUACUGGGUGCCUUGGGUGAAGUCGAGGCGGAUGGAAUGCAAGGUGUAGCGGUGAAAUGCAUAGAUACCUUGCAGAACUCCGAUGCGAAGGC
rnacentral:rRNA from 1 species